GUUAAUGUAGCUUAAAAUAAAAGCAA
rnacentral:tRNA from 2 species